UACGUAGGGUGCAAGCGUUAAUCGGAAUUACUGGGCGUAAAGCGUGCGCAGGCGGUUGUGCAAGACCGAUGUGAAAUCCCCGGGCUUAACCUGGGAAUGGCAUUGGUGACUGCACGGCUAGAGUGUGUCAGAGGGGGUAGAAUUCCACGUGUAGCAGUGAAAUGCGUAGAGAUGUGGAGGAAUACCGAUGGCGAAGGCAGCCCCUGGGAUAACACUGACGCUCAUGCACGAAAGCGUGGGGAGCAAACAGG
rnacentral:rRNA from 1 species